CAUGUUGGCCUGGCUUUCGCGGCCGGCUGAGUAUUUUUUUCACCCAUGUCUUUUGCGCACUUGUUGUUUCCUGGGCGGGUUCGCCCGCCACCAGGACCAAACCAUAAACCUUUUUUUCUUAUGCAGUUUCCAUCAGCGUCAGUAAAAACAAUGUAAUUAUUACAACUUUCAACAACGGAUCUCUUGGUUCUGGCAUCGAUGAAGAACGCAGCGAAAUGCGAUACGUAGUGUGAAUUGCAGAAUUCAGUGAAUCAUCGAAUCUUUGAACGCACAUUGCGCCCUUUGGUAUUCCAAAGGGCAUGCCUGUUCGAGCGUCAUUUGUACCUUCAAGCUUUGCUUGGUGUUGGGCGUUUUUUUGUCUCCCUCUUUCUGGGAGACUCGCCUUAAAACGAUUGGCAGCCGGCCUACUGGUUUCGGAGCGCAGCACAUUUUUUGCGCUUUGUAUCAGGAGAAAAGGACGGUACUCCAUCAAGACUCUACAUUUUUCACUUUUGACCUCGGAUCAGGUAGGGAUACCCGCUGAACUUAAGCAUAUCAAUAAGCGGAGGAAA
rnacentral:rRNA from 1 species